AGUGGUGUUGACGACUAAUUGAUCGUAACCAGUUACAGAUUUCUUUGUUCCUUCUCCAUUCCCGCUA
rnacentral:sRNA from 1 species